rnacentral:rRNA from 1 species
AAUUUUGGACUAUGGGGGCAACCCUGAUCCAGCCAUCCCGCGUGUGCGAUGAAGGCCUUCGGGUUGUAAAGCACUUUUUGCAGGGAAGAAAAGCCGCGGGUUAAUACCCUGCGGUGCUGAGUGUACCUGCAGAAUAAGCACCGGCUAACUACGUGCCAGCAGCCGCGGUAAUACGUAGGGUGCACGGGUUAAUCGGAAUUACUGGGCGUAAAGCGUGCGCAGGCGGUUCGGCAAGAAGGAUGUGAAAUCCCAGGGCUUAACCUUGGAACGGCAUUCGUAACUGCCGGGAUAGAGUAUGUCAGAGGGGGGUAGAAUUCCGCGUGUAGCAGUGAAAUGCGUAGAGAUGCGGAGGAAUACCGAUGGCGAAGGCAGCCCCCUGGGAUAAUACUGACGCUCAUGCACGAAAGCGUGGGGAGCAAAC